GUGAGAUAAAAAAAUUCAUGAGGAUUUCGUGCGAAACCCUCAAAGGUCAGGGAGGUUCGUGAAAUUCACCCUUCUCCUCUAUGCCUUUUCGAAUUAAACGCCAGUGUAUUUGAUAAACCCUAAUUUUAAACUGAGUUUUCGCUUUUCCAUCGCUCUCAAAUCUCAAUCUCACCUCUCCCCUUUCACUGAAGCAACGUCGGCAAUCAUCUGAGGGCACAAAGGCCACCUGCUUUUAUUAAAGUAUUUAUUAUGAAGCAAGAAGAAUCCACGAAGCAUGCUUCGCUUCAGUUCAGGUGCAGAAAGAUUGCUGCUCCUGUCAUGGAAAAGCCGAAUUCUUUGUGUCCGGCUGCUAUCCAAAACGUGAAAGUUGAAGGAGAUCAAGACUCAGGCAAGGGGAUUGAGUCUCCGACGCCAGAGAAACCCGAAUGCAAGAGAAAGAUUAAGGGUGCCAGUUCAAUUCUGAAAGGAAAGAAUCUUUUUGAUGAUUCCCAUGAGGAUGGUGUUGAAACCCAAUCAGAGGAAAGUGAUCCUGAAACCAAUAACAAAGCAGAUUCUUCUGAAAGGAGCAAUUUUGUGCUCAAUAGGUCACAAGAAGGCGAUAUAGUUGAACUCCCAGAAGAGUACAACAUCCUCUCUGUCCUUUUUGACCGGAUGAUUAGUUCUAUUAGAUUGCUUGCUUUGCGGAAAAGGUUGCCCAUUUUUCGUAACAUUAGUACUCAAGUGGAAAGAUUAUCAAAAAGGAAAUUAUUAUGCAGCCAUCUUGCACAGAUGAAAUAUGCGUUUCCUGAAGCCAUUCAAAUUGAGAAGAUACUCAUACAUGAUGAGGAAAGCCUAUGUGUCGUUCCAGACAUGAAGAUCACCCUAGUCCAGAGUGUCAUAGAAAGCACUCUCAAUGCUGACCAGUCUGCUUCAGUGGCUCUUUGCAAAGCUUUUCAUUCAAGGCUUGUAGAUAUUUUCAAAGCCAAUCCAGAGGGCAUUGCUAUCCCCCAGGCUAUGCUGCCAGAACCAUUCAGUCAAGGAAACCAAGGUAUACCCAGAAUGUUGCUGAAGGGAUCAUCUGAAGGACUUACUCAGAGGACUUCAUCUGAAGGACUUACUCAGAGGACUUAUUCUGAUCUAGAGUUCUUAUCAAGUGCUUCCCAUUUUUCCUCAUCUUUUCAUCAUCAAUUUUCUCAGAAAAUGAUCACAGAAACAGAAAAUAUAGAACCACCUGCUAUUACAGUCCCAUUACUCUCUAUUUCCAGUGUUGACGAGGAGAUAGAAGUUAGUAAAAACCCGCAAAUGGAAGCUAUUCAGUACCCUGUUCCUCCAGUUAAAUCUCCUAUAAAACCAAUAUGUACUCCAAGUCGAGUGACGCAUCUAAAUUCUGAGAGCACUCCUGCAAAAUGCUCAUCAAAUAUAGAUCUGUUUAUGACCGAAACACCAUCUCAGCAGACACCCAAAAGACCUGUACCCUCCACUGAUGAAAAGAUUGCUCCUGGGAAUGAGAAGUUGGUUACUGAACCCAAGGCGGGUAACUCAGUUAGGAGGUCAUUAAUCCUUUCUCCAUCAAAACCUGAUGGAAGUUUGUCAAAUGCUUCCUAUACGUCGGCACAAGAUGGGGUUCAUAAUGCUUGCAGAAAAACUACAAUAAGUAAAGGUAUUUCUGGAAAUGAGGUUAUGGGAACCAACCUGUUUCAAAUGGCGUCUGAAACUGCUACUGGCUCAUGUGAAGAUCAUAUUAUUAGCCAAGCAGGGCAAGAGAAGCGCUGGAGUUCACAAUCCUGUUUGCUCGGCAUGUUUGACACAAUUUGCUACAUAUUGAGAUCAACUGACUGUUCUCUCAUUACAAAACAGGAGCUUGUACACAAGAUUAUUCUAAAUAAUUUGGACAUAGAAGAGACAAGCGAAGUGGAAGAUCAGUUGCAGCUGUUGGAAGAGUUGGUUCCAGAUUGGAUUUCGAAGAAAGAUGUGUCAAAUGGGGAUUGCUUUUACUGCAUCAAGCAAGUAUAUGAUCGAGAAUCUGUCCGUGCAAAGCUUGUAGAAGCUUUAUAAAUUAUGGUCUAUGUACUGAUCUUGCUCUCAUUCAUCUGCUUAUCUAAUGUACUAAAGUGGCUCAGAGCAUCGGAGGGCCGCAGGAUGACAGAGUUAUUGCAUAGUCGCCGUCACAUGAGUUACUAGUAGAGACUCCACAGUAGAGUUAUUUUCAUUCGGACAUUAGAGUUUUGUAUCACAUUUUGUAAAGGCUAUGAGCCUUAGUUACAUUUUCAGCUGUUUCAUGUCGAGACAUAUUUAUUUAUUUCGGAUGUCGGAUGUAUUCCAGAUUGUUCAUUAAGACAUGAUUUAUUUAUGAGAUACUCCUUUCUA